rnacentral:lncRNA from 1 species
AUGAACAAAGCUAGUGGAGGUGAUGGAAUUCCAGUGGAGCUAUUUCCAGUCCUGGAAGAUGAUGCUAUGAAAGUGCUGCACUCAAUAUGCCAGCAAAUUUGGAAAACUCAGCAGUGGCCACAGGACUGGAAAAGGUCAGUUUUCAUUCCAAUCCCAAAGAAAGGCGAUGCCAAAGAAUGCUCAGACUACCGCACAAUUGCACUCAUCUCACGCGCUAGUAAAGUAAUGCUCAAAAUUCUCCAAGCCAGGCUUCAGCAAUACAUGAACUGUGAACUCCGUGAUGUUCAAGCUGGUUUUAGAAAAGGCAGAGGAACCAGAGACCAAAUUGCCAACAUCUGCUGGAUCAUGGAAAAAGCAAGAGAGUUCCAGAAAAACAUCUAUUUCUGCUUUAUUGACUAUGCCAAAGCCUUUGACUGUAUGGAUCACAAUAAACUGUGGAAAAUUCUGAAAGAGAUGGGAAUACCAGACCACCUAACCUGCCUCUUGAGAAAUCUGUAUGCAGGUCAGGAAGCAACAGUUAGAACUGGACAUGGAACAACAGACUGGUUCCAAAUAAGAAAAGGAGUACGUCAAGGCUGUAUAUUGUCACCCUGCUUAUUUAACUUAUAUGCAGAGUACAUCAUGAGAAACGCUGGGCUGGAAGAAGUACAAGCUGGAAUCAAGAUUGCCGGGAGAAAUAUCAAUAACCUCAGAUAUGCAGAUGACACCACCCUUAUGGCAGAAAGUGAAGAGGAACUAAAAAGCCUCUUGAUGAAAGUGAAAGAGGAGAGUGAAAAAGUUGGCUUAAAGCUCAACAUUCAGAAAACAAAGAUCAUGGCAUCCAGUCCCAUCACCUCAUGGGAAAUAGAUGGGGAAACAGGGGAAACAGUGUCAGACUUUAUUUUUUGGGGAUCCAAAAUCCCUGCAGAUGGUGACUGCAGCCAUGAAAUUAAAAGACACUUACUCCUUGGAAGAAAAGUUAUGACCAACCUAGAUAGCAUAUUCAAAAGCAGAGACAUUACUUUGCUGACUAAGGUCCACCUAGUCAAGGCUGUGGUUUUUCCAGUAGUCAUGUAUGGAUGUGAGAGUUGGACUGUGAAGAGAGCUGAGCACUGA